UACGAGGGGUGCAAGCGUUGCUCGGAAUUAUUGGGCGUAAAGGGCAGGUAGGUGGUCUCAUUUGUCAGGGGUGAAAGCCUUGGGCUUAACCCAAGAAGUGCCUUUGAAACGGUGAGACUGGAGUCUUGGAGAGGGUCGUGGAAUUCCCAGUGUAGCGGUGAAAUUCGUAGAUAUUGGGAAGAACACCGGUGGCGAAGGCGGCGACCUGGUCCUUGACUGACGCUGAAACGCGAAAGCGUGGGGAGCAAACAGG
rnacentral:rRNA from 1 species